CUACGGGAGGCAGCAGUGGGGAAUAUUGCGCAAUGGGGGAAACCCUGACGCAGCAACGCCGCGUGAAGGAUGAAGGUUUUCGGAUCGUAAACUUCUUUGAUGAGGGACGAAUAAUGACGGUACCUCAAAAACAAGCCACGGCUAACUACGUGCCAGCAGCCGCGGUAAUACGUAGGUGGCAAGCGUUGUCCGGAUUUACUGGGUGUAAAGGGCGUGUAGGCGGGAAGGUAAGUCAGAUGUGAAAUUCCAGGGCUCAACUCUGGCGCUGCAUCUGAAACUAUCUUUCUUGAGUGAUGGAGAGGAAAGUGGAAUUCCUAGUGUAGCGGUGAAAUGCGUAGAUAUUAGGAGGAACACCAGUGGCGAAGGCGACUUUCUGGACAUUAACUGACGCUGAGGCGCGAAAGCGUGGGGAGCAAACAGGAUUAGAAACCCUUGUAGUCCA
rnacentral:rRNA from 1 species